UACGGAGGGUGCAAGCGUUAUCCGGAUUCACUGGGUUUAAAGGGUGCGUAGGCGGACAGGUAAGUCAGUGGUGAAAUCUCUGGGCUUAACCCAGAAACUGCCGUUGAUACUAUUUGUCUUGAAUAUCCUGGAGGUAGGCGGAAUAUGUCAUGUAGCGGUGAAAUGCUUAGAUAUGACAUAGAACACCGAUAGCGAAGGCAGCUUACUACAGGAUGAUUGACGCUGAGGCACGAAAGCGUGGGGAGCAAACAGGG
rnacentral:rRNA from 1 species